CCUACGGGAGGCAGCAGUAGGGAAUCUUUCACAAUGGGCGAAAGCCUGAUGGAGCAACGCCGCGUGCAGGAUGAAGGCCCUCGGGUUGUAAACUGCUUUUAUAAGCGAGCAAUAUGAUGGUAACUUAUUAAUAAGGAUCGGCUAACUACGUGACAGCAGACGCGGUCAUACGUAGGAGCCGAGCAUUAUCCGGCGUGACUGGGUGUAAAAAGUUGCGUAGGUGGGAUAAUAAGUAGCUAGUGAAAUCGGGUGGCUCAACCAUUCAGACUAUUAGCUAAACUGUUAAGCUCGAGACCGUUAGGGGUAAGUGGAAUUUAUAGUGUAGGAGUGAAAUCCGUAGAUAUUAGAAGGAACACCAAUAGCGUAGGCAGGUUACUGGGACAGUUCUGACACUAAGGCACGAAAGCGUAGGGAGCAAACGGGAUUAGAUACCCCUGUAGUC
rnacentral:rRNA from 1 species